rnacentral:rRNA from 1 species
CGGCGGACGGGUGAGGAACACAUCGGAAUCUACCCUGUCGUGGGGGACAACGUAGGGAAACUUACGCUAAUACCGCAUACGACCUUUGGGUGAAAGCGGGGGACCCGCAAGGGCCCCGCGCGAUUGGAUGAGCCGAUGUCCGAUUAGCUAGUUGGCGGGGUAAUGGCCCACCAAGGCGACGAUCGGUAGCUGGUCUGAGAGGAUGGCCAGCCACAUUGGGACUGAGAUACGGCCCAG